AACGUUGUAGCACCGGUUCCCCUCCGAUCACCGAAGUUAAGCAACGUCGAGCUUGGUCAGUACGUAGAUGGUUGAGUUUUU